rnacentral:rRNA from 1 species
UACGUAGGUGGCAAGCGUUGUCCGGAAUACUGGGCGUAAAGCGUGCGCAGGCGGUUAUGUAAGACAGAUGUGAAAUCCCCGGCAGCACACGGAUGACUGCAUUUGUGACUGCAUGGCUGGAGUGCGGCAGAGGGGGAUGGAAUUCCCGGUGUAGCGGUGAAAUGCGUAGAUAUCGAGAGGAACACCUGCGGCGAAGGCGGGUUGCUGGGCUGAUACUGACGCUGAGGCGCGAAAGCCAGGGGAGCGAACGGG